rnacentral:rRNA from 1 species
GAUGAACGCUGGCGGCGUGCCUAAUACAUGCAAGUCGAGCGAACAGACGAGGAGCUUGCUCCUCUUACGUUAGCGGCGGACGGGUGAGUAACACGUGGAUAACCUACCUAUAAGACUGGGAUAACUUCGGGAAACCGGAGCUAAUACCGGAUAAUAUAUUUAACCGCAUGGUUCAAUAGUGAAAGACGGUUUUGCUGUCACUUAUAGAUGUAUCCGCGCCGCAUUAGCUAGUUGGUAAGGUAACGGCUUACCAAGGCAACGAUGCGUAGCCGACCUGAGAGGGUGAUCGGCAACACUGGAACUGAGACACGGUCAAGACUCCUACGGGAGGCAGCAGUAGGGAAUCUUCCGCAAUGGGCGAAAGCCUGACGGAGAAACGCCGCGUGAGUGAUGAAGGUCUUCGGAUCGUAAAACUCUGUUAUUAGGGAAGAACAAAUGUGUAAGUAACUAUGCACGUAUUGACGGUACCUAAUCAGAAAGCCACGGCUAACUACGUG